GCAGGACAUAGAGACCAUUUCUAGGAAAAUGGAAGAGGAUGAUGAGAAACUUACGCUGCAGCUGGACGAGAUGAAGGACAGGAUCGCCAGCGACCUGGAGAGAGCCGCCACGCUCAAAGGAAGGUUCAGCUCGACGACUCGUUAAAGGACCACGAUAUGAUGUCAGAUGCUCUGGGUGUGAAGAUAACUGAAGUGUAUCGCUGCUGCGUGGACUCCCAUCCGACCUGCCUCAGCACCUUGGAGAAGCUGACCAGUGUUUGAACACCGUGCAUGUUUACAGCUCCAGUUCUUGGAGAGCAUCCCUAAAGAGAACCUG